GUGGUAUUAGUCUAGUGGUUAGGACUUCACGUUGUGGCCGUGACACCCCAGGUUCGAAUCCUGGAUACCACA
rfam:Vitrella brassicaformis CCMP3155 genome assembly, contig: scaffold83